rnacentral:rRNA from 1 species
GACGAACGCUGGCGGCGUGCUUAACACAUGCAAGUCGAGCGGCGCGGCGAACGGGUGCGUAACGCGUGAGUAACUGCCCCCCUCUCUGGGAUAACAGUUGGAAACGGCUGCUAAUACCGGAUAGUGGGGGAUGACUCGCGUCCUAUCAGCUUGUUGGUGGGGGAGUGGCUUACCAAGGCGACGCCGGGUAGCCGGCCUGAGAGGGCGACCGGCCACAUUGGGCUGAGAGAGGGACCAAACUCCUACGGGGGGCAGCAGUGGGGAAUAUUGCGAAAUGGGGUAAGCCCUGGUGCAGCAACGCCGGGUGCGGGAUGACGGCCUUCGGGUGGUAAACCGCGUUCAGCCAUGACGCGGUAGUGGCAGAAGAAGCACCGGCUAACUACGUGCCAGCAGCCGCGGUAAUAC